rnacentral:rRNA from 1 species
UGGGGAAUAUUGCACAAUGGGCGCAAGCCUGAUGCAGCCAUUCAGCGUGUAUGAAGAAGGCCUUCGGGUUGUAAAGUACUUUCAGCGGGGAGGAAGGGAGUAAAGUUAAUACCUUUGCUCAUUGAUGUUACCCGCAGAAGAAGCACUGGCUAACUCCGUGCCAGCAGCCGCGGUAAUACGGAGGGUGCAAGCGUUAAUUGGAAUUACUGGGCGUAAAGCGCACGCAGGCGGUUUGUUAAGUCAGAUGUGAAAUCCCCGAACUCAACCUGGGAACUGCAUCUGAUACUGGCAAGCUUGAGUCUCGUAGAGGGGGGUAGAAUUCCAGGUGUAGCGGUGAAAUGCGUAGAGAUCUGUAGGAAUACCGGUGGCGAAGGCGGCCCCCUGGACGAAGACUGACGCUCAGGUGCGAAAGCGUGGGGAGCAAACAGG